CUCCACUUUCAAAGCUAAGGCUCAAAUUCCAGGAACACAGCCUUGCAGUGACCUAGAUAAUUCAGGCCCUGAUGACUGCAAAACAGUCCCAGGAGACAGGGAACACUGCGAUGAUGGGGAACCACGAUGCCCUGACUGAGGAGGAAGACAGAUACAGGAAUUUCAGAAGAAUUAGCCCCAGACAAACAAAAGAAAUGGGAACAAGAUGAAGGACGUUACACAGAGGAGAGCUCGGAUGCAAUGGCCUUCAUUGAGAUGCUGUCUCCCCUGGAGGAAGACCUUAGGGCCCUUCCCAGAGUAGAGGAGAUAUGGUUAAAAAAAGAAAGAAAAGAAAAAUGCAUCUUUGUACCCAACAGUCAUGUUCACCACUGCAGGCGUGGGUAGACAUUGUGUACAUUCACCAUGGACACAUCUGGAGCUGAGCGACCGUGAAUGUUCCCGUUCACACAACAGCGGAUUGCAAACAGAAAGCUUUGCAUUGUGGUGGAGAGCAAAGGGCAUUGUGUGAGCAUCUUGCUCAGGGUUCCAUAUUCACCUGUGUUUGCACCUGGCCUGCUAAAAAAGGGACUAUGGAAGGCAACCUCGAGCCAGGACUCACUGCUUUGUGCAAAAGGGUAGUACAACCCAGUGCCUCCUGUGGCUUAGAUACUGGCUGAACUUAUUAUACAAGGUUAUGUAAAUAAAAUAUACAAGGUUAUGUAAAUAAAAUAUCCUC